rnacentral:rRNA from 1 species
GACGUAGGAUGCAAGCGUUGUCCGGAUUUAUUGGGCGUAAAGCGUUCGUAGGCGGUUGUCUAAGUCUGAUGUUAAAGUCCGGGGCUCAACCCCGGGUUCGCAUUGGAAACUGGACGGCUAGAGUACGGUAGAGGUAAGGGGAAUUCCCGGUGGUAGCGGUGAAAUGCGUAGAUAUCGGGAGGAACACCAGUGGCGAAGGCGCCUUACUGGGCCGUUACGUGACGCUAAGGAGCGAAAGCGUGGGGAGCGAACAGG